rnacentral:lncRNA from 1 species
UUUACUUUAGAAAACUAAAUAUAAUUAUUUCAGCCUAAUUUGACAGCUUUUCCUUUAGUUCUGUCACUCAGGUGACACCUACCCCAGGACAUCUUUGUGGCUCCCAAUCCGUUUCUUGGCUUCUGCCUGUGAUGAUCCUUAGAGUGCCCUUGAGAGCCCCAGAACCAGCCUGCCCUUCCUGCAGUGCUUAUACCCCUCCCUCUUCCCUGCCCAACUGGACCCUUGCCUGUGUCCUUGACCUCUUCUCCAAAGUCUCUCUGUCCCCAUCAUGCUUUCCUCCAACAGCUCUGUUUUCUUUCUCCCUUGAGAAUUAAGAAGUCAAGUGGGAGACUUGAAGUAGUCCUCAUAUUGAACUCUGCUUCAUCUCUUCAUCCCCUGAAUCUUUGAGCUAAAUGUUAUAUUCCUCUAAGACUCAGUUUACUUAUCUAAAAAUGAGCAUAACCACACUUGCCUCCUAGGGUGUGGCAAGGACUAAAUGAGAGGGUGUAGGUAAAGCACUGAGCAGGGGUCACCUAGGCCCCUGUACCGGGAGUGGAAUUAUAAAUCUGUCCAACAUACAGUUGCAGAGGGACUGUAGUCACUGAGACUAUGUCACUCCACUGCCUCUUCCCCACCUCCCCGCAAUUUAUAGAAGCAGCUUGAAUCUUUUCUUUCAGUGGAAACAUUUCUCCUUUUCUUAAAGGCAAAGCUUCAGGUGAAGAGGAAAUGACAGCUCCUUUUUGGGCCUGGCUGGCCCAGGAGGAGAUUUGGGGGUGAGGACCUUCAAAGGGGAGACAGCACAGAGGCCAGAAUCUGGAUGGAGGUCUGAGGCCUUAACCCUUAAAAAUGCCCACAGCCAGGCUCCAGGAUGCAAAACCAUAGCUUCUAGGGAAGGCCACAGCUGCCAUCAAAUGUCCCCUUUCAGGCAUAGUCUGAACGUCUCCCCAGGACAAAGAUGCUCCAGAAGCUUGUUAAAUGAUUUUCAGCAAUUUCAGAAAUUGCCUUAGCUGGUUGGUUAGAUUUUGCUGCAGUCUUAGAUUAGGAAAGAAAGAAAAAAGGCUGCUGGUGAUGGGAAUGUGGCUUUGUCUAGGAAGGCCAGCUGCUGUGGGCUGCUUCUAAAAACAUUGGAAAGGCAUGAAUGGACUCUGCCAGGUAUGUGAAUGGCCUCCCGGGCCCACUGAGGACACGCCUCACCCCUACAUAGCUUUGCUCACCAAUUACUGGUAUCUUCCCCUGGAACUCCUAGACUGAUCCAGAAACUUGUGUUUACUUCUUACCCUAAAAAAAAUUAAAAAGAAAGAAAGAAAGAAAAAGAAAAAACCAACCAUUGUCUCUCCCCAGUCAGCCCCUUUGGCUUAAUCUCUGAGAGCUCGGUUUUGUUUGUUUUUCUUUCACUGCACUGG